rnacentral:rRNA from 1 species
GGAUCAAUCUGUUGGUCGUGCCUUUGGUACGUACUAGCUUAUUGAUUUCUCCCUUCUGACGAAUCAUGAUGUCAUUAAUUUGGUGUCGUGGAGAAUCAGGACUGUUACUUUGAAAAAAUUAGAGUGUUUAAAGCAAGCUAACGCUUGAAUACAUUAGCAUGGAAUAAUGAAAUAGGACGUUUGACCCUAUUUUGUUGGUUUCUAGGAUCGACGUA